AACAUUUGCAUGAUCUCUGUCCUAUUUUAAAGCAUCUGUUUUAUGUGUACAGGGAUAUAAUAUUUCAUUAAAGGAAUUAUAUCAUUUACUAAAUAUGUAUAUAUCAUAUAUACAGGGCUCAUCACUAGCCAUUGGCAAGUGAUAAUUUAGCCCUGGCAAGUAGAAAUUUACCCAUGGUGAGUGUGAAAUAGACCCUCCAGGCUUGUGGUGGUGAGUAAAUUGUAUCGUCCGGCUAUUUAUUGACUUUUGCAUUUUGAUCCCUGGUAUAAAUAUAUUUGAUGUAUUCAUUAAAAUCACGUUAUAAAACGUACCUUUUAUUCUAUUGCCUAGACCAGGGGGUAGGCAACCUAUUAGCAGCACUGUGCCGAAAUAAGAUUGUGAUGUCCCGUGGCGUGCUGGUUCAUUCUUUUUAAAUUGAGGUGUGUAUGUUGCCUUAUUCUGCUUGUGUUAUUUAUACUGCAGUUGCUUUGUAUCGUUGUAUUUGUGCGUAUAUGAGCCAUUAUAUUGUAUAUGUUCAUGAGUAGUUUGUGGUAUUGUGUAUACCUAUGAAUGUGUGUUUGUGAAAUUGUAUGUGUGGAUGGAUAUGUCACAUUGUGUGUUUGGUAGUGUGUGUAUGUGUUGGGGCUGUUUGGGGUAUUGCACGUGAGAGGCUGCAUGUGGGGUUGUGUGCAUGUGCGUAGAUCGUCAAUGGUGUUGAGUUUGUGCGAAUUGUGUGUUGUGUUUGUGUGAGGAAUGUUCAUAUUAUUUGUAUGAGGGGAUUGUUAUUCUUCAGCUCUCUAUAUAUCUAGCAGUGUGGGUGGCUUCCUUGGGGUCUAGUGGGGACCAGGCUGGCCAGGUACCGUUCAAGGACAGGAGCUGUAACAGCAGCUCUGGGCUGCUCUACUACAGUGUGGAUUCCCAUUCACAUGUGCUGGGAGGAAGUGAUCUGAGAUCAUUUCCUCUGCGUGCUGCAAUUCAUAAAUUGAGGAUUGUCCUUCACCACCUUUUCGUAUUAGCAGUGGCGUACACAUGACCGGGGCCCCGGUGCGAAAAUUGAUCCGUGGGCCCCGGCGCUGCGACCCCGCGACAGGCAUGCACACACACUUAAAGGACCACUACAGACACCCAGAUCACAUCAGCUCAAUGAAGUGGUCUGGGUGCCAGGUCCCUCUAGUUUUAACCCUGCAGCUGAAAACAUAGCGUUUCAGAGAAACGGCUAUGUUUCACUGAGGUUAAUCCAGCCUCUGGUGGCUGUCUCAUUGACAGCUGCUAGAGGAGCUUCCGCGAUUCUCACUGUGAAAAUCACAGUGAGAAGACACUGAACGUCCAUAGGAAAGCAUUGAGUAAUGCUUUCCUAUGGGCGGUUUAAAUGCGCGUGCGCCUCUUGCCGCGCAUGUGCAUUCGGAGCUGAGUCCGACGCUGGAGAAAAGGUAAAUGCUGAAGACACACACACACUCUCACGAACAGACGCAUACACACUAGCUAACAGACACACAUUUACUGACAGAGACACACUCAGCACAGACAUACAUACACACUCACUUACAAAACAUACACUUUCACUGACAAACACACACUCACUAACAGACAUCAAACACACUCAGUAACAGACACACACAGUAACACACUCACUAGCAGACACACACCCAAUAACAGACACACUCACUGACACACACACUAACACAAACACUAACAUACACACAAACACACACACACACACACACAUUAACAUACACACACACACACACAUUAACAUACACACAAACACACACACACACAUUCACACACACACACACAAACACACACACACAAACACACACACACACAAACACACACACACACACACACACACUAACACACACAUACACACACACAUUUUUAAAAAAAAUGUAAUCCCCCCAGCCUCCUUACCUUUUGGAGUGCUGGGGGGAUUCCCUGGGGUCCAGUGGUGCUGCUGACCCCGGCGGGCUGGCUAUCUAGGUGGCCGGUGCGCUAGGGAGCACUCAGUGCUUCCUCUUCAGCUCCCUCGCGCGCCGCAUGGGGAUGCCGGCGCCGGAAGAUGACGUAAUCUUCCGGCUCCGGCAUCAGUGCGGUGCGCGAGGGAGCUGAAGAGGAAGCACUGAGUGCUCCCUCGCGCACCGGCCACCUAGAUAGCCAGCCCGCUGGGGUCAGCAGGGCCAGCCUCGGUGGGCCCUGGGGUGGUCGGCUCCUGGGCCCCCCAGGAGAAGAGGCUGGCCCUGUGGCUACAUACCGGGUCGCAGGGGCGGCCGGGCCCCCUGGUGGGCCGGGCCCGGUCGCAGCCACGACCCCUGCGACCCUGGUAUGUACGCCACUGCGUAUUAGCAGAUAUCUGAAGUUUCACUGGGACUUCUGAUAGGCCAGAGCCUGUUUGGCUCUAGCAGCUUUGAGUGCCGUGCAUGACACACGUGCCAUAGGUUGCCUACCCCUGGCCUAGAUAGACUCCUCACGGGAGUCAUAUCUUCUUCUGGCUGUCUGACAGCCAUUAGCAGGCAUAGAAAUUAAAAAAUUUAAAUAAUUGUAACAAUAGCAAGGCUACAAAGCAGAAUCUGUGCUAUGAAAUCACUUCAUUGAUAUAGAAAACACAAAGGCAGUUGGCAUUGUGCUUAUAAUGAUCUUAUUGAUAUUAUUAAGCAGAACUUUAUAUAAGUAUUAAACACCACUAUAAUCAUUAUUAUAAUGUCAGUGAAUUUCUUUUAUUAUGUGUCUAACGCUUAAUGUAAAUAACUUUUUAACCCCUUCCCAUACCUGGUUUGUCCGACAAAAAACAGCUGUUAACGGCCUCGGACGUACCAGAAACGUUAGUAAAAGUUGUAAAAUAGUUUUUAAAUUAAAGUUAUUAGAUUUUUUUAUAUAUAUACAGGGAGUGCAGAAUUAUUAGGCAAAUGAGUAUUUUGACCACAUCAUCCUCUUUAUGCAUGUUGUCUUACUCCAAGCUGUAUAGGCUCGAAAGCCUACUACCAAUUAAGCAUAUUAGGUGAUGUGCAUCUCUGUAAUGAGAAGGGGUGUGGUCUAAUGACAUCAACACCCUAUAUCAGGUGUGCAUAAUUAUUAGGCAACUUCCUUUCCUUUGGCAAAAUGGGUCAAAAGAAGGACUUGACAGGCUCAGAAAAGUCAAAAAUAGUGAGAUAUCUUGCAGAGGGAUGCAGCACUCUUAAAAUUGCAAAGCUUCUGAAGCGUGAUCAUCGAACAAUCAAGCGUUUCAUUCAAAAUAGUCAACAGGGUCGCAAGAAGCGUGUGGAAAAACCAAGGCGCAAAAUAACUGCCCAUGAACUGAGAAAAGUCAAGUGUGCAGAUGCCACUUUCCACCAGUUUGGCCAUAUUUCAGAGCUGCAACAUCACUGGCGUGCCCAAAAGCACAAGGUGUGCAAUACUCAGAGACAUGGCCAAGGUAAGAAAGGCUGAAAGACGACCACCACUGAACAAGACACACAAGCUGAAACGUCAAGACUGGGCCAAGAAAUAUCUCAAGACUGAUUUUUCUAAGGUUUUAUGGACUGAUGAAAUGAGAGUGAGUCUUGAUGGGCCAGAUGGAUGGGCCCGUGGCUGGAUUGGUAAAGGGCAGAGAGCUCCAGUCCGACUCAGACGCCAGCAAGGUGGAGGUGGAGUACUGGUUUGGGCUGGUAUCAUCAAGAUGAGCUUGUGGGGCCUUUUCGGGUUGAGGAUGGAGUCAAGCUCAACUCCCAGUCCUACUGCCAGUUCCUGGAAGACACCUUCUUCAAGCAGUGGUACAGGAAGAAGUCUGCAUCCUUCAAGAAAAACAUGAUUUUCAUGCAGGACAAUGCUCCAUCACACGCGUCCAAGUACUCCACAGCGUGGCUGGCAAGAAAGGGUAUAAAAGAAGAAAAUCUAAUGACAUGGCCUCCUUGUUCACCUGAUCUGAACCCAAUUGAGAACCUGUGGUCCAUCAUCAAAUGUGAGAUUUACAAGGAGGGAAAACAGUACACCUCUCUGAACAGUGUCUGGGAGGCUGUGGUUGCUGCUGCACGCAAUGUUGAUGGUGAACAGAUCAAAACACUGACAGAAUCCAUGGAUGGCAGGCUUUUGAGUGUCCUUGCAAAGAAAGGUGGCUAUAUUGGUCACUGAUUUGUUUUUGUUUUGUUUUUGAAUGUCAGAAAUGUAUAUUUGUGAAUGUUGAGAUGUUAUAUUGGUUUCACUGGUAAUAAUAAAUAAUUGAAAUGGGUAUAUAUUUGUUUUUUGUUAAGUUGCCUAAUACUUAUGCACAGUAAUAGUCACCUGCACACACAGAUAUCCCCCUAACAUAGCUAUAACUAAAAACAAACUAAAAGUUUUUUGGGUUCAUUGAGAACAUGGUUGUUGUUCAAUAAUAAAAUUAAUCCUCAAAAAUACAACUUGCCUAAUAAUUCUGCACUCCCUGUGUAUGUAUGUAUGUGUAUGUAUAUAUGUGUAUAUAUAUAUAUAUAUAUAUAUAUAUAUAUAUAUUCUAAGUAUUUUUAUAUACACAAAUCAUUAUUAAAAGUGUAUUUUAAUAUUAAUCUAUUUAAUUUUAUAUAUUUGUGUGUAUAUAUAUAUAUAUAUAUAUAUAUAUAUAUAUUAAAAUACACUAAGAAUAAUGCUCAUUUUAUAUAUAUAUAUAUAUAUAUAUAUAUAUAUAUAUAUAUAUAUAUAUAUAUAUAUAUAAAAAAUUAAAAUAAUCAACAAAUAAAUUAAAAAUAAAUAAAAUAAUAAAAUUAAAUGUAAAAAUAUAUAUACCAGUUUACAUUUGUUCUAACUGUAUUUUGAUAUUAAUAUACAUUUAGAAUGAUGUAAUAAAUACAUAUCCCCUUAACGACUGUGGACGUACUAGGCAUGAUUACUGCCACAGUAGGAGUGUAUGGAGCUGCCAGUAGGGAGACUAUCUGAGCUGUCAGGCAGUUCCUCAGGCUGCUAAAAAGUAAGAAAAAAAUUAAAAUAUAAAUAAAAAAAUAUAUAUAAUAUAUGAAUAAUAUAUUUAUUAUAAAAUAAUUCAAGCAUUUUAUAAUGUAUUAUACAUAUAUAAUGCAUAUAUAUGAUUUCAUUAUAAGUGUACUUUGAGAUAUAUACACAUUUCAAAAUACACUUAUAAUGAAAUCAUAUGUAUGCAUUAUAUAUGUAUAAUAUAAAAUGCUUUAAUUAUAAUAUAUUAUACAGAUAUAGGAAAUAAGUGUAUAUAUGUUGUUGCGGCUCCCGGCCCGCCGCAUGGCGCAGCCGUGCCCGACCGGCAUGGCCUCGCCGAUAUUGCGAUCUUACCUGCGAGCCGGGAACUGCUCUUCCGCGUCUUCUGGGUGUUGCGCCCAAAUCAAAGAUGGCACUGACCACGUGGUCGCGCACACCACAAGCUCCGCCCCUGAAAUGUAUACAGACGUGCUCGUGACUUCAACGCAUGUGCACGUUCUGGGGUCAGAGGUCACACUCUGACCAAUCAGAGCCCAGAGAGGGAUAUUUAAAUCCCUAAUUCACCCCAGUUCCUUGCCCUGUUGUUGUUUCCUGUUCCUGGUUCCCGAGAGUGCGUUUAUCUUUGUGAAUCUGACUUCCUUGUAUCCUGAUCUUGGCUUUUCCCUGGUUAUUCCGAAUUCUGGUUCCCCUGACUUGGCUUGUUUAAACGGUAUCUGAGUAUUUCUGGCUUCCUUGACCUCGGCUUUCCCUUUGACCAUUCUCUAUCUCUAGAGUAUUAGUCCGGCCAUUCUAAGGUCUGGUUUACGCUUUGUCCUUUUAUUUCCUUUCCUUUUUUAUGUAUUUGUUUACAUAGUUUCUGCGAGUUGGACCACACUAGCAGCCGUGACAUAUGUGUGUGUAUGUGUAUAUAUGUAUAUAUAUAUAUAUUCAUUCAUUCUAAGUGUAUUUUAAUACUAAUAUAUAUACUUAUAUUAACAUUAAAAUACACUACGCAUGACGUUACAUGGAAAACUGAUGUAUAAAAGAUGUGUGUGUAUAUAUAUAUAUUUUUAUAUAUAUAUAUAUAUAUAUAUAUAUAUAUAUAUAUAUAUAUAUAUACAUACACACAAUACAUGUAAUUUAUUUUUACAUGUUUAAUGAUUUUUUUAAUUUUUUUUAAUUUUUUUUAGCUCUUCCCACUAGCAGGGGGACUGUCUGACAGCCCAGACAGUCCCCUUGCUGGUAGAUCCACAGCCAAGUAGAGGGGGCAAUGUGAUCGCUCAUUUGCAUAAUCUAUUCUGCUUGAAUUGCACAUCCAAAUUCCUUGACAGACUAAAAUGCCAAACGAAGCUCCCUUUGCUCACAUGCAGAUAACAGAAAUUGUUGGAUGAAAAAUUAUUAUUAUUAUUAUUUUUUUUUUUAAAUAUGUCUCUUAAUUUUUAACCAUAGAUAGUUAUAGGGUCCUUUUUGUUUGUGCAGAUUUAUCACCUCUCCUCCAGUUGCAAAGACAGAAUUAAUCUGCUAGUAGAUAGCUUUGGUUUUUAUUUAGGUUAACCCCUUAGUGACCAGACCACUUUUCAGUUUUCUUACUAUUAAGGACCAGGGUUGUUUUUGCAUUUCUGCGGUGUUUGCGUUUAGCUGUAAUUUUCCUCUUACUCAUUGUACUGUACCCACACAUAUUAUAUAUUGUUUUUCUCGACAUUAAAUGGUCUUUCUAAAGAUACCACUAUUUUAAUCAUAUCAUAUUAUUUACUAUAAUGUUUUUUAAAAUAUAAUGAAAAAUUAAAAAAAUCACACCUUUUCUAACUUUGUCCACCAAAAUCAGUUACGCAUCUACAACCGCCAUAAAACACUCUUGAUAAAUAGUUUCUAAAUUAUGUUAGAAAUACCCAAUGUUGACAUGUUCUUACCUUUUUUGUUUGUUUGUUUUUUUGCAAGUUAUAGGGCAAUAAGUACAAGUAGCACUUUGCUAUUGCCAUACCAUUUUUUUCCCCAAAAUGAACGCAAGUUACAUUGUAACACUGAUAUCUGUAAGGAAUCCCUGAAUAACCCUUCACAUGUAUAUAUUUUUUAAAGAAGACAACCUAAGAGAUUACAUUUGGGAUAUUUUGACUCUUUUCAUGCAACCAUUUUACCACCAUCAAUGCCAAAUUAAAAAAAAAAAAUAAUAAUUGGUGAUUCUUUCGACACACAUUGCAAUUUAAGAAAACAUGUAAUGAGAACUUUAAGGGUUACUGCCAAAGAACACCCCAAUAUGUGUUCAGCAACAUCUCCUGAUAAAGUGAUACCACCCAUGUAUAGGUGUGCCGUGUUCUCUGGGGGCUAAAAGACGUUAUUUGGAGGGUGCGCAUUCCAGUUUUCCAACUUGGAAUUUUCACAGCUGGUCAUCAUGCACCCAUGUCCUAUUUGGGACAUUUUUGAAGCACGCCAAUUUAAUUUACCCCCAUCAAACCAUAUAUUUUUGAAAAGUAGACACUAAUUCUAUGCUCUAAUUCUACCACCAGUCUUUGUCAAACUUUUGGGUAGUCAUUUUUUUGUUAUUUUUCUCUCACAUUGUACUUUGGGCAUGGAUUCUCAGUUCCUGUUAUGUGUUACUGACAAAGAACACCCCCAAUAUGUGUUCCGCAUCAUCUCCUGAGUACAAAAGUGUCCCCAAUGUACAGGUUUUAUGGGUUUUUGCAAACUUACAGGGGUAAAAUGUAGGGCUUUCCUCUUUUCCAUGUUUGCACAUUAAAAUUUUCCAGAUUGGUUUGCUGGGCCUAUAUUGACUUUAAGACCGUAUAGCAGCCCAGGAAUGAAAAUUAUACUACAAUUAGACUUGUAAAAGUAGACAACGCACUGUAUUUAAAAUGAGGCAUUUCCAGUCAUUUUUUGUAGCCACAUAUUUAUGUUUUGCUUUUUUCACACAAAAACAAAUAUGAACACAAACUCUGGCCAGUGUUUGUGACUAAGUGGCUACUAAAAAAAGACUGGACAUACCCCACUUGCAAUACCUUGGGUUGUGUAAUUUUGCAAAUGGUAUGCCAUCAUGGGGGUAAUUCUCAAUCCUGGGCUACCACACGGUCUCAAAGGUAACAUUACUAAUCAGGCGAAUUUUAAUGUGAAAAAAAUUAAAAAUAGAAUGUGCUAUAUUUGACCGUGUAACUUUCCAAAACACCGUAAAAUCUGUUAAUGGGGGCUACUGUUGCACUCGUGAGACUUUGCUGAAUACAAAUCUGUGCAUUUUAUUGCAGUAAAAACAAACAGUAUUAUGACAUUUACAGCUAAAAUGUUAGGCGGAACUACAAAUUUAUUUUUAAAAAUCUUAAUUUCUCACAGUUUAUUUUAUUAAUAAUAAGUUAUGUUUCAUAUAUGAAUAGUUCAUGAGAAAUUAAAGCCCUGUUUCUCCUGAAUAAAAUUAUAUAUAAUAAGUGUGGGUGCACUUAAUAUGAAAGAGGUUGAACACAUAUAUAGCGCAAAUUCCAGUUUUUGUUUACAUUUUGUUUUGAUCAGAACGUGUACUAUUGACUCCAUCCUGAAGGGGUUAAAGGAAGCGUCCAUGUAAUUUAUAAAUAAAUAUUUACAUACACACACACCAGCCUUUUCAAUAGUAUUCAGUGCAGUUGACAUAUGUUUAAGCCUGGAUGAUUCCAGUCCUAAAUUUGUAGAUGUAGAAUUGCUUUGGCCAAUGUGUUAAUGUUCCCCAAGUGCCUGGAGUUUACUUUCCCAGAAGCUCAGUUCAUACUCUGAGCAAGUGAUGUCAGAGAAAGCAGUACAGUGAGUACAUGAACAGUGUUGGUAUGUGACAUGUUAUUCAGAUCUAACAAUCUGUGAGCACUGAAGCAAAUCAUGGUUUCAUUUGAGACACAAAUUCCAUCAAUGUAGAGAAGAAUGGUAAUGUAUAAGUCAUACAAAAACAUAAGUCAUAGCAACAGGAUUUAGAAAAUUGUAGUGUGAAUGAAAUGAUUUGGACACCCUAAGUAUUGUAGUCUCUAGUUAAUUAUAGUAGUUAUAGUGUUAAGGGUCUAGGGGAUGCAUCUCCUAAUUUUCCAUCAGACCAUUUUGGAGAGGAUUAGUGCUGGUAGUGCCCUAAUUUUGAUUAUUAGUCCCUUCAUAUUUGUGCUUUUAUUUAAGCAUGAUUUAUAUUUAUUUAUUUACUCUUGAUUAAAUUGGAGUUUCAUUUCCUUAUAGCUUGUCUAAAUGUAGAUUAUACUGGAAGGGUUACUCCAAGCACCAUGAC
rnacentral:lncRNA from 1 species